rnacentral:rRNA from 1 species
AGCUCCAGUAGCGUAUAUUAAAGUUGUUGCAGUUAAAAAGCUCGUAGUUGGAUUUCUGGUUGACCAAGAUGGCCCGGUUCCUCAUUGGAGCUGAGUGCCGUCCUUUGCGUUUACCAUCCUUCCAGAGAGUUGUGCCUACCGCUAGUCGGCCGGGUGCUGCGAUCUGGAUCAUUUACUUUGAAAAAAUUAGAGUGUUUCAAGCAGGCUUACGCUUUGAAUACAUUAGCAUGGAAUAAUAAUAUAGGACUUUUGGUUCUAUUUUGUUGGUUUCUAGGACUGAAGUAAUGAUUGAUAGGGAUAGUUGGGGGUGCUAGUAUUUAGCGGCCAGAGGUGAAAUUCUUGGAUUCGCUAAAGACUAACUACUGCGAAAGCAUUCACCAAGGAUGUCUUCUUUAAUCAA